rnacentral:lncRNA from 1 species
UCUCCAUGGAAAUGGCUGAGGCCCAAACAAAGUCAGCUUUCUUGGGGAAGGGAGGGCUGACCCAUCAGCAAAGAGUCUCAGCUAUGUGCUGUGGCAUUUCAACAAGGAACCAUGUCACUGGCAUCCCAUCUGGGUGAGGGGAGUGGCUAGGGUAAUUAGCUGGCAGCCAAGGGCAGGCCGGCUGGGAGGGUCUAAGAACAAGACUCAGUGUCCAGACUGCAAGAGACUUCAGAGUUCAUCUGGGACGCAGGAGGGACAGGACUUGCCCAAGGCCACACACCAGUCUCAGGUCUUGCCUUAGGCAUUGCUCCUUCUGGAAAGCACCCGACCCCACCCCUGUUCUGCAGGGCUGUGUCAGGUAUGCCUCUGUGAUUUGAUUUAUCUUAUUAAUUAUCAUCCUGUCCUCUAAUUGAUUAUUUGUCUGUUUCCUCCUCUAGAUUGCAAGCUUCUGCAAAGAUAUGGAACUUAUUUGUUUUACUCACUGUCCUGUCUCCAAGUAUUUAAUAUAACAGAGACUUACUGAAUAUUGGAAUGGAUGAAUGAAAAUCGUGUCUAGCACAGUGUCAUACUGAUUGCAGAUGAGUUAACUAAAAAGUUAACAUUUACUAGAAGAUGGUAUUUCUUCAUUGUGGUUUGGCCUGAUUUUAUUGGUGGAUCCUGCUGACAACGUUAUAUACUAAUAUUAAAAUGAUAGGCUGAGCAUGGUAGCUCACACUUCUAAUCCCAGGACUUUGGGAGGACAAGGUGGGAGGGUUGUUUGAGCUCAGGAGUUUGAGACCAGCCUGGAUAAUGUAGUGAGAUUCCGUCUCCCAAGGCAAAACAAACCCAAAAGGGGAGCAUAUUAUUGCUCUUUUAAAUAUAUGCCCUGACUAUGAUGUUGCUACAAAAAUAAGCCUGAUCUGGAAGGAGACAGAACCAGUUUUCAGUCCUGAUUCUCUCCUUCCUGGUUGUAUUGGUUGGUUAAUCUCUUUGAGCCUCAAAUCCUUGAGUAGAAAAAUGGGAAUAAUAUAACCUGCCUUGUGGGUUCUAUGUAAUAAGUGAAUGAAAUAAUAUCUGAAAGGCACUUAGUAUGGGGGCUGGCAAAAAUAAGUACUUAAAAAUGUUAGUCAUGAUUAGUAUUACAGUAAGGAUAAUAAACACUACUUUGCUUGGCAACUAGAUGCUUGACAGACAGUAGCUUAUAUUAUUACUAUUAUUAUAAAGGAAUGCUGGAGUUUUAUUGUAAUGACUAUGAGCUGAAUUGGCAGGAAGCUGCUCUUUAGAGACUCAGGGAAGCAGGAGCCAGUGCUGGGAAGGCUCUUCCUCUUGUUUCCUAGAGGCAGAGAAAGAGUGGUCAGUUCGGAUUGCACCAGAUCGAAGGAGAGCUUUGAAAGGGAGUCACUGAACGGGUAGCCCCUUCUGGCAACUUACUUCCUGGGACAAAGCACAGCAAGCACUUGGAGAGGCCUUUGUUGAGUAGCUUGGGAUCUUUCCUCCUGCCAACCUGCAGGGAAUAAAACAUGGCCCAGGGCAGACUUUGGAAUUGCAUGGGGUGAACCGGGUAAGGGUGCUUAAGGGAGAACUUUACUCGGGAAAGGUAGUAUUUGUGAAUUUCUAUUGAAACCUCAUGCACACAUCUUUGUAACAAGCAUUAUAAAUGUCAGGAGGCUCAACCACCAGUUUGAAGGCAUUUCGCCUCUAACCUGAGGCUUCUAAGGACUGCU